rnacentral:rRNA from 1 species
UUGUUCGGAAUUACUGGGCGUAAAGGGCUCGUAGGUGGCCAACUAAGUCAGACGUGAAAUCCCUCGGCUUAACCGGGGAACUGCGUCUGAUACUGGAUGGCUAGAGAUUGGGAGAGGGAUGCGGAAUUCCAGGUGUAGCGGUGAAAUGCGUAGAUAUCUGGAGGAACACCGGUGGCGAAGGCGGCAUCCUGGACCAACACUGACGCUGAGGAGCGAAAGCCAGGGGAGCAAACGGG